ensembl:lncRNA
CCCCCCCCCCCCCCCCCCCCCCCCCCCCCCCCCCCCCCCCCCCCCCCCCCCCCCCCCCCCCCCCCCCCCCCCCCCCCCCCCCCCCCCCCCCCCCCCCCCCCCCCCACCCCCCCGGUUUUUUUAAUUUUAAAUUAUCCAUCUCUCCGGUUGAGCUCUUGCUGUAGGAGCACCAACCCGACGAGCAUCAUUUUCGUCGGUGCAUAGAGGAAAGCUGUAGGUGAAGCCGCAGGAACCCUCUUUGCCUGACAGGAGCUUUACAAAGGAAGGUCAGUCACCAGGUACCCAUUACGCAGGCAAAGGAAGCUGAGACUCAUGCAAAGCCUCUGGCAAAGGUGGAAACAAAACCUCGGGCUGUGAUCCUGCAUUAAAAGCCGUCUGGAUCUGCCUGCCUGGAGCUCCUUACAGAUCAGCAGUCUGGGACUGGACCGGUGAAGACGUAACUCCCUUUGUGCCUGCUGUUACUGCUGAACCCCCAAAACGCUGCCUCUCGCUGCUGCGGGUGCCACCCAGACCUCUCCCACCGCAGCACUUGGUCGCAGCAGGGCUCAACACCCGGCUACUCCCACUGAUGUCUCGAGGACGAGGCAAGAGAGCAUUUGUCAGAUACCGAACUGCAGGUUCCAGUCCUGCUGACCACCACCUAUGAUGAGGAGAUCCCCAGACUCCAGCAGACUCUCAGACACUGCUCUGAUGGCAGGAGCUCCCCAGCAACCUGGCAAAUGUGACCAUGACCUGGCAGACAGGACAAAGUCAAAGACCCGCUGGACUCUAAGCUCUGAUGGUUCUAGUUGAUGUCCAAGGAGAAAGCUUGAUGAUUUGGAGAUGAAGAAGAAAGGAAUCACGUCCUUGCUCUCUGCAGGCAUCACUGCAGGAGGCAGCCCUGGCAGAAGCUUACCUUCAUCGGGAGAGACCUUUGGGAUGGGUCCGCUGGCCAGGAGAGGGAACGAGAAACCUCCUGCAGGAAAGGGGAGACCGUCUAGCUCAGGAGAAGCUCCUGGGAGCGGGGCAGGCGUGGGUAGAAGCAGGAAGGCCUCCCACUCCUAUGGCUCGCCUUCCCAUGCCAGCCCUGCUCCGUCUGCUGGCAAGAGCAAUGCGGAGCUCUGCCGUUCGCCCGCCGGCAUCCAGCCCCUUCUGUCCUCCCCAGCCCAGAUUCCCUCCAUGCCUUCAUUUCAUCUGCCACAAGUGCCGAGGGAGAGAAGAGCAGACACAGGAGGGAGGACAACCCUUAUUUUUGGAUUCCUGCUUUCCCAUGAAUUUGCCUCUAUUUUAGCCUCUAAUAUGUCAUCAAAGUUACAAAUAAGGACUGUGCAUGCCGUGAUCUGCUGGCUGGGAAGUUGAUUGCCCUGCUCACCUGUGGUCAGUCAAACCCAAUGGAAGUACCCUGCAGGUCCCCUGAGGCUGCAUGGGAAUAGAGUGAGAUGGCAGCACCAGCUGCUGCCUCAGCCAAGUGCCCAGGAAACCAGGGUGCAGCUGUGAAAGGUGCUCAGGGGAAACAGGAGUCCUUUGGCUCUUUGCUUUGCUGCUCAGCAUUUUGGAAUGACAUUAUUUUGGCUCUUCCUCCAUGCUUCCCUUGCCUACUAGGUGUUUAAGAGAACAGGGUGAGGGAAGCUCUGAUUUUUUCAAAACGUGAAAGCAACAUGGAAAGCUUUUGCUACAUAUGAACCUGCAUUGUGUUGUGAAUUUGACUUACUCUUCUGUGUGCAUGGAGAUGCAGGGUGUUCACAGCUCCCCUAUGAAAGGGUUUUUCAGCUCUGGCAUCAUGGGCAUUAAAUGCUUUUUCCUCUUGUCCUGCCUUCUGCUUUUGGGAAAUCAUCUGCACCUGGAAUUUGCAUCUGCUUUCCAUAUGGGAAAAGAAGCAUGUUCAUCCUGCUGUGUCCCUUACAUAUGGCAAGUCUGUCAGCUCUGGGUUACAGGCAGUCAGGUGAAUGGGGUGGGCUGAGCUUCCCCACGUCAGUUGGCUCCUCAGAGAGGGAAGAAGGGCAGCCAGUGUCAGACCAGUGUUUAUAGAAAGUUUAGUCUCCAGUGGAUUCCCUAUUCUAGUGAAACAAUAGGAGGGUCUUGUGCUGUAUUAUCCAUGCUUCCUCUUUAUUCUGAUAUUAUCUGUGAAUUCUUGCAAAUAAUAGAUGACUGAGACCAUUAUUGUUUAGGGAAGUAGGAAGAUUAAAACAUUAGAUGGACCUUAGCAGUUUCAGUAGACUUAUUCAUGGUGUUUGUAGUUAUGCAGGUCAGAAACUAGCAAAAUACCUGUUGGAGUAAGUAAUAACCCUGUGCAUUCACAAAAACAGUUCUCCUACACCUCAUUUUUAUUAAGAGAGACUGCCUCAGUCAAACAAGUGCUAGAGAGUUCAAAACAAAAAAGGAAAGCAAACAUAACUCCACUCUCAAUGCCACAAGAUUUCAGGAAGCAAUCCAUUCCAGCUCUUCCAUAUAUCUAUCUGCUUUGAUAUAGGCAUUCUGAUAUAAAUUGCAUGAUGGUAAUUAAUCAAUUGAACUUGAAGUCAAAAAAGCAUGCUUUUUUUUUUUCUUCUUUUCUAAACCUGCAUUAAAAUAUUAUUCAGAACUCUUGGAAUGAAAAGUGCUAGGUCAAAACUCACAUUUUUCUAGCAAGUCUAUGAAAACUUACUAUAAAAAGUCACAUACUUUAGAAUCUCAAUUAUCCUGGAAGGCUUAUCUGGGUUAUGGCUUAAGCAUGCUAUUCAUGUGCUGCCAAUUUGUUAUAGAAGUACAAGAUGAGCUAUAGUGCCUUCCAAAGCAACUAAACCCUUCCCUGGGCCAGAUGGAAUCCAGAAGCCAUUCAGUGGGUUGAUUUGGGUGCACAAGUCCUGCAGCUUCCCUUCAGUCCCAUGCAGAGCUGGGCUGUGCCUCAGAGCUGGAAGCCAUGGAGCAGUGUGUGUCCUUUGCAGUUCUGGCAGGACUCAGUAUCUGCCUCUACAUCACGUGCUCCUCAUCUGGGAAGUCUUCUUCGUUCAGAAACCUUGCCCUGCAACUGCACAGAGAUGGCCGAGGUGCGGUCCUGCAUAGAAAAGAAGUCUUUAUGGGUACCACCUGCCAGGACACUAAAACCUCCUGCAUUACUCACAUAUUAUUAUUUCCUGUUGCUUAGGACCUUUCCUUCUCCUCUUCUUCACCUGAAGUAAAGGGGACGUGUUGAUUUAUCCAUGGCUUUAAUAGCUACUGGUCUCGGUAGAACUUCUCUGGCUCAUUGUACAUCGACAUUGUUGAUAUUUUUAAAUGCAUAUGCAAUUAAUAAAAAUUGCGCAAAACUUUGAAGCUUUUGCUAUAUUCUGGACAGAUGAUGAAUUUUUGUUCUCUGUGAAGUGUUGUUAAAACUUGCUGUCCUCAAGGACUAAUUACUAAGAGCAGAUUUUACUCUGAAAGAAGAACUUUCUCUCCUUUGCACAGCCUUGUGUUAGAUAAACAAAC